rnacentral:rRNA from 1 species
GGGCCCGCACAAGCGGUGGAGCAUGUGGUUUAAUUCGAUGAUACGCGAGGAACCUUACCAGGGCUUAAAUGUAGUGGGACAGGUCUAGAGAUAGACCCUUCUUCGGACUCAUUACAAGGUGCUGCAUGGUUGUCGUCAGCUCGUGCCGUGAGGUGUCAGGUUAAGUCCUAUAACGAGCGCAACCCCUAUCGUUAGUUGCCAGCGGGUAAUGCCGGGAACUCUAGCGAAACUGCCGGUGCAAACCGAGAGGAAGGUGGGGAUGACGUCAAAUCAUCACGGCCCUUACGUCCUGGGCUACACACGUGCUACAAUGGCCGGUACAGAGAGCAGCCACUACGCGAGUAGGAGCGAAUCUAUAAAACCUAUCUCAGUUCGGAUCGGAGUCUGCAACUCGACUCCAUGAAGUCGGAAUCGCUAGUAAUCG